rnacentral:rRNA from 1 species
UACGUAGGCAGCGAGCGUUGUUCGGAAUUACUGGGCGUAAAGAGUGCGUAGGCGGUGCUCUAAGUCUGUUGUGAAAUCUCCCGGCUCAACUGGGAGGGUGCGGCGGAAACUAGAGUGCUAGAGUGUGGGAGAGGUAAGCGGAAUUCCUGGUGUAGCGGUGAAAGGCGUAGAUAUGAGGAGGAACACCAGCGGUGUAGACAGCUUACUGGACCACGACUGACGCUGAGACACGAAAGCGUGGGUAGCAAACAGG